AAAGCUUUCUUACACAUUCUGUCUGUAGCAUGUGAAGUAACCAUCCUUCAGUGUGGAAAAACAUGCCAUAUCAACUUUUGUGGAUGCACCACAAGGCAGGCAGGUAGAGUUGAGCGGACACCUGGAUGUUCGGGUUCACCAAGUUCGGCUGAACUUCAUCAAAAAGUUCGAGUUCGGGCUCGAACUUGACCCGAACUUGACUCUGAACCCGAACCCCA